GAACGUGCGCUACUGCUCGGCUGAACCACCACCGUGCACCGUUUAACGUUACACCCCCCCCACCCUGUUCUGAGAUUUAUACGAUUCAAUAGUAAACGGGAAGUCUGGCACGUUACUAGGAAAAACAUCAAAGCAGGUGUCUUCAAAGUGCCUGCUCAUAGACUCAAGCAUGUCAGGGGGAAUCUCUGCUAGCAUAGCCACCAGCAGGCUACGAGCCGAGGGAAUGGGCUCCAAAGACCACGCCGUACCCUUCCUUA